GCGCCCCGGGCCGGCCGCGCCGCCCCCCGCGGGGCACAGGCGCGAGGCGGAGCCGGCGGCAGCCGGAGCCGUUGGCGCUGCCCGCAGCCGCCGCGGGACGGCCGCCGGAGCGCAAGUGACCUUGUCAACAGAGUUGGCCCUUAUGCCUGGAGCAGCAGAUUGCACUAAGCCCUCUGCAUAACCAGACAUCUCCAUCUGUCUUACUUGCAGGUAAGAAGUUAUGACGAAUUUCAAGUAAGAGUUUUCCUUCUCCUUCCUGAAAAUGUUUGUACAUAAAGCACACCAAGAACCUUAGAGGUUAAAGAGUUUCCUAAGUGUGUGUGGAUAUACUGACAUCACUUUCUUCCUCAAGUUAGACAUCUGAGGAAGCUCUCAGCUCCCCUGUUCUGUGCAACAUUUGCUUUCUCGAGAUGGUUGUGUUCUGGAGCAUGCCUAUCAUGGUCCUGCCAAGUUUACCAUUCAUAUGAUGAUGUGAUUCCCAUAUGUGUCUCCUCUCCAGCUGUGAAUGGAGAAGACCUGAUGCCAGCCUGCCUCUGAGGAGAGUGCCCUGAUUGAGAGGAGACUCUUGUCACUGGCUCCCUAGUUGUCAGUUCUUCUUGGACAUCUCUCUGUCAGCAACAGCUCAUUGGUGGCCUGUUGUUAGACAGUCGGCUCUGGCUGCAUGUAGGUUUUGGGACAGCAGGCUGCUGCUGCCUCUUUGUGCAGGUGAUGUGUGUGUGUGUGUGUGUUUAAAACAUAAUGCUGGAUGUAAGGAGAUAUCCUCAAUUUGGCAAUUGAGACGUUGCCAGAAAUACAGAAGAGAUGACAAGAAAAGAAGGCAGUACCAGAUAAUGAUUUUUAUGACAGCGUGAUUAAUUCUUGACAGAGUAGAAACAUCAGAACUUUGAAUUAAACACUGUACGAAUAUAUACCGUCAGAUUAUGCACUGGCAAUUAUUAUUCAGGAUGGUUUGAGUCCUCUGUUCUAUGCUGUAAAUUAAGAUGGUGAAGCAAAUAUGGGAGAUUCACUGCUACGUGUUCUGCAUUCUGUGUACGGAACAUAGUUAAAUUUGUCUGUGCAUUUGUUGUGAGUGCUACUGAGUAAAUUCCUUUCAGUGGAGCAAGUCCCUGCCUAGCCGCCAGGUAAGGAGUAUCACUCCUUUAUCUGUCACCUUGCAAUGAGACAAGCAAGCUAUACUCUUUAAGUUACAUUAUUGUACCACAACAGGAUAUAAGGGCAUGCAAAAAUUUCAUGAUGAUGAUGCUUGCCCACUGUCACAUGGGGAUAGUUACUUGUGUACCUUACUUCUUUGGAGUAAACCAGUAGUUUUGCCUCAUAAGCAUCACUAUCAUAAUUCACUGUUACUUCAGUUUGCUGUCUGCUUCAGGGUGUAAGACAAAGGAACAGCUGCUAGCAUGCAAUUUAUUAAAGCACUUUUUUCCUGAAAUCAUGGAGUCAAAUAGAUUUUUGUUCUUAAAAAAAAAAAAUCACUUUUAUUCAGUGUCAGUCAAAACAUAAAUCAAAGGUUAGAAGAAAAGCUUUCUACCCCCAUCUGUAGUUCACUCAUUCUGGAUGGUCCCUGUGGUUUGGUUCCCUCAUCAGAAUGUAAAAGAAGUGGAAGUCCUUUCAAGGAGGAUGAUAAGGAUGAUGAGAGAUGUGUGUUCUUCCAAAUGAAUUAGUUUCCCACUUUGUGUUUCUUUGUGCAUGUCACAUAAGACAGCUCAAUUUCUUGUCAUUAAUAAGCAUCAGCGCCACGUUUUCUUAGUGUUUAAACAUUCAGACUUCACUUGUGCCAUGUAAAUCUGAGUAACUUCUGAGUGAUUUGUGGCUUCCCUUGUGCUGGAGUACAAAGAGCAGAUGUCUUUGACCUUCCGAGUUAAGAGGUGCUUCUACUGUCUGGACUCAAAAAUUCUGAAUGAAGAACCUUUCCCAGAUCUAUCUUCCUGCCACGUAAAUCAGGGUGGAAUUUUGUUUCCAUCUGAAAGUUCUGAUUCAUGAAUCAGAAAAUAUCUUGUUCAUUGAUCUUUUUUAGUAUUCUUUUUUUCUCUGCUCUAAUAUCUGCUGAAAAGAGUGAAGAGGUGGAACAAGUUUCUAGAUACUGUCUAAAAGGAACUCUGAUGCAGAGUGGUUUUUCUCUGACUUUCGGGGAAGCUCUCAUUCAGAGCAAAAUAAUUUCAAAUGAAAUGUGUUGCAUCUCUCAUUUUCAUUGCUUCUCUUGGGUGUUUCAAUUUACUGCACAUACACCUUUCAUCCUGUCUUUGGAUUGAGUCUGUAAAGGAAAAAAAAAUAAUGAUGACAGUGUUAUCACUGGGAUCCUUCAAUUUUGCUGCAUUCUUUGGAUUACAAAAAAUGCUUUUCAUCUCUUCAGCCUCUCUACCCCCUCCUCCCCACUCCAGAGCUGAACACCACACAAUGCACCUCUUGUUCCCUUGCUAACUGUUGCAGUUUUAUAAUGACCUUGUACUUCUUCUGACUGGUGAGAUACCAUUGCUGAAGUUGAAGAUAUUAUGGUGUGUGCAUCUGUUUCCUUCCUUUUUGUGACUCAUUCGCAUUUUUGUCAUGUGUAAUUUCUUGCUGUUUCACUUAGUGGUGGUUUUUUCCUCCUUCUUACUGUUCAGUAUAAAUUUGUCAUUAUAUAAAACUCAGAUCUUGUAUCCAGAUUUAAAUGAAUUCACAAUUGUAGCAUCUGUAGUAAAAACGUCACAAAUGCAUUCCAAGUUGAAUGCUAUUUUAUUUCUGUUUCUGUAGACUGUUUCUAAGGAAAUGCACUGAUUUUAUGUUUAAAAACAUGUAUAUUUCAACUUUUUCAGAAUUAGGAUUCUACAUUUUCUUGCUAACUCUGGGCAAACUGGAAAUAGAGAGUAAAUGAGCAGAAUAUGCCUGGAGAUAAUGGCAGAACUACUGAUGAUAAAUGAUGGGGAGGGUGCUGUGUGAAAAUGCCAUGUACUUGCAGAGACAGGAAAGCCUCUCUUUGUGCUUCGAAA